rnacentral:rRNA from 1 species
AACGAACGCUGGCGGCAGGCUUAACACAUGCAAGUCGAGCGCCCCGCAAGGGGAGCGGCAGACGGGUGAGUAACGCGUGGGAAUCUACCCAUCUCUACGGAAUAACGCAUGGAAACGUGUGCUAAUACCGUAUACGUCCUUCGGGAGAAAUAUUUAUCGGAGAUGGAUGAGCCCUCGUUGGAUUAGCUAGUUGGUGGGGUAAAGGCCUACCAAGGCGACGAUCCAUAGCUGGUAUGAGAGGAUGAUCAGCCACACUGGGACUGAGACACGGCCCAGACUCCUACGGGAGGCAGCAGUGGGGAAUAUUGGACAAUGGGCGCAAGCCUGAUCCAGCCAUGCCGCGUGAGUGAUGAAGGCCCUAGGGUUGUAAAGCUCUUUCACCUGUGAAGAUAAUGACGGUAACCGGAGAAGAAGCCCCGGCUAACUUCGUGCCAGCAGCCGCCGUAAUAC